rnacentral:rRNA from 1 species
GACGAAACGCUGGCGGCGUGCCGUAAUACAUGCAAGUCGAGCGAGCGGAACCAACAGGAUUUACGUUCGGUAAGUGACGUUGGGAAAGCGAGCGGCGGAUGGGUGAGUAACACGUGGGGAACCUGCCCCUAAGUCUGGGAUACCAUUUGGAAACUGGUGCUAAUACCGGAUAAUAAAGCAGAUCGCAUGAUCAGCUUUUGAAAGGCGGCGUAAGCUGUCGCUAAGGGAUGGCCCCGCGGUGCAUUAGCUAGUUGGCGGGGUAACGGCCCACCAAGGCGACGAUCAGUAGCCGACCUGAGAGGGUGACCGGCCACAUUGGGGACUGAGACACGGCCCCAAA